rnacentral:rRNA from 1 species
GACGAACGCUGGCGGCGUGCUUAACACAUGCAAGUCGAACGAAGAGCGAUGGAAGCUUGCUUCUCUCAAUCUUAGUGGCGAACGGGUGAGUAACGCGUAAUCAACCUGCCCUUCAGAGGGGGACAACAGUUGGAAACGACUGCUAAUACCGCAUACGAUCUGACCUCGGCAUCGAGGAUAGAUGAAAGGUGGCCUCUACAUGUAAGCUAUCACUGAAGGAGGGGAUUGCGUCUGAUUAGCUAGUUGGAGGGGUAACGGCCCACCAAGGCGAUGCACAGUAGCCGGUCUGAGAGGAUGAACGGCCAAAUUGGGACUGAGACACGGCCCAGACUCCUACGGGAGGCAGCAGGGGGGAAUCUUCCGCAAUGGACGAAAGUCUGACGGAGCAACGCCGCGUGAGUGAUGACGGCCUUCGGGUUGUAAAGCUCUGUUAAUCGGGACGAAAGGCCUUUUUGCGAAUAGUGAGAAGGAUUGACGGUACCGGAAUAGAAAGCCACGGCUAACUACGUG